AUGUUGCCAAGCCUCAAAAAGGCCAAGUGGAAAUCAGUGCCCCUCGCGGUUGGUGACAACCUGUUGGUCAUGGAGGCGAUCCCUAAGAACGAUCAAAAGAUGGAACAUCAAUCUUUCGAGGCGCUUAUGUAUGGCGAAAGGCCUAAAAUGUUCAAGGGGGUGGACUUUUUCUGGCACUCCAUCCCCCCGCCGCCUUAUGUCUAUGCCCCUGGCUAUGGUGUCGACCGUUCUGGUGUGAUCACCGCGUGCACUGUGGUCAAUGGCUCAAGCAUCUUGAUAUCCACAGAGAGCCUCGGCACCUACUGCUUGGACACGGUGAGCGGUAAGUGGAGCAAGACUGGUGCCUGGCCGCUGCCGUUUAAAGGACUUGCAGAAUAUGUUCCGGAGUACGAUCUCUGGUUUGGUGUCUCGGCAAAGGGUGGUGGCGUCCUCUGCGCAUCAGACCUGGGUGCUGCCUCGGCAAAGCAGACGCCGCCGGUGGUACUCCAAGAGUGGGAGGGAUUUGCUGCCCCUGAGGGUACCGAGCUAGGAUCGCACCUCCUGCACCUAGGUGCCGGUCGUUUCUGUGUCGCCAAGUCGAUCAUGACAACAAGGCCGCAGGAGACGUGCUGCCAGAUGUGCUGUUUCCAUGACACUACUGCCAUUGUCGACAAGUUAGUGAUGUUUACUGGCGUGGAGAUUCAGCGCUGUGGCAGAGGGCUUAAUAAGGUGAUCAAGCACAGAUCGUUUCGUUAUAGUAUGGGCGCAUGCAGCAUGGCCAAGAUACUUUAUUAG
rnacentral:rRNA from 1 species